ensembl:lncRNA novel transcript
GUCUAGCUUCCUCCUCGCCUCCUGCCAUGAUUGUAAGUUUCCUGAGGCCUCCCCAUCCAUGAGGAACUGCUGUUGUAGCAGGACGAGCCGCAGACAAAACUCCUUAGACACCGGAUUGAAGAAGGCAGACUUGCGUCUCAAAAGCCGAGCUCACCGCGUGAGCAAUUCCCGUCCCUUUUAAGGGCUUACGACUCUAAGGGGGUCUGCGUGAGAGGGUCGUGAUCGAUUGAGCAAGCCAGGGGUACCUGACUGGGGGCUGCAUGCACCGAAUUCUAUGAAAGAAAAAAAUCCCAUUUUCCCAGGGAGAAACUGAACCAUUCUGACCUCUGGUUAUGGCUGUCAUCCAAACAGUUUAUAUAACCUGUCUGGGAAAUUGAAGAUUGUUCAUAUCUAACUCUGCAGUUACAAAAGGACCAUGUCUCAUGGAAUUAUCCACGCUCAGAUCUUCCGCAUGGCUCAAAACCAUUUUUGGGAUAUGAGACAGGGUCUCACUAUGUUGCUCAGGCUGGUCUCAAACUCCUGGCCUCAAGCGAUCCUCCCACUUUGGACUCC